AAGCGUUGUUCGGAUUCAUUGGGCGUAAAGGGUGCGUAGGUGGCGCCGGAAGUCGGGUGUGAAAUUUCGGAGCUUAACUCCGAAACUGCAUUCGAUACUGCGGUGCUUGAGGACUGGAGAGGAGACUGGAAUUCAUGGUGUAGCAGUGAAAUGCGUAGAGAUCAUGAGGAAGACCAGUGGCGAAGGCGGGUCUCUGGACAGUUCCUGACACUGAGGCACGAAGGCCAGGGGAGCAAACGGG
rnacentral:rRNA from 1 species